GAUGAACGCUGGCGGCGUGCCUAAUACAUGCAAGUCGAGCGAACAGACGAGGAGCUUGCUCCUCUGACGUUAGCGGCGGACGGGUGAGUAACACGUGGAUAACCUACCUAUAAGACUGGGAUAACUUCGGGAAACCGGAGCUAAUACCGGAUAAUAUAUUGAACCGCAUGGUUCAAUAGUGAAAGACGGUUUUGCUGUCACUUAUAGAUGGAUCCGCGCCGCAUUAGCUAGUUGGUAAGGUAACGGCUUACCAAGGCGACGAUGCGUAGCCGACCUGAGAGGCUGAUCGGCCACCCUGGAACUGAGCCACGGUCCAGACUCCUACGGGAGGCAGCAGUCGGGAAUCUUCCGCAAUGGGCGAAAGCCUGACGGAGCAACGCCGCGUGAGUGAUGACGGUCUUCGGAUCGUAAAACUCUGUUAUUAGGGAAGAACCAAUGUGUACGUAACUAUGCACGUCUUGACGGUACCUAAUCAGAAAGCCACGGCUAACUACGUG
rnacentral:rRNA from 1 species